rfam:Haemonchus placei strain MHpl1 genome assembly, scaffold: HPLM_scaffold0003432
CCAAAGGCGUUUUCAAACGCCAUUUCAUUUUGAAAAAAAGCGAAUG